rnacentral:rRNA from 1 species
ACUGCUCAGUAACACGUGGACAACCUACCCAAGAGUCAGGGAUAACCCCGGGAAACUGGGGAUAAUACCUGAUAGGCCACGACAUCUGGAAUCGAGUCGUGGUUUAAACGUAAGGCUCUUGGAUGGGUCUGCGGCUGAUUAGGUUGUUGCCGGUGUAACGUACCGUCAAGCCUGUAAUCAGUACGGGUUGUGGGAGCAAGAGCCCGGAGAUGGAUUCUGAGACACGAAUCCAGGCCCUACGGGGCGCAGCAGGCGCGAAAACUCUACAAUGCAGGCAACUGCGAUAGGGGAACAUCGAGUGGCGUCCAUAUUGGAUGUCUGUCCACCAGCCUAAAAAGCGGGUGUUAGCAAGGGCCGGGCAAGACCGGUGCCAGCCGCCGCGGUAAUACCGGCGGCUCGAGUGGUGGCCGAUAUUAUUGAGUCUAAAGGGUCCGUAGCCGGCUUUGCAAGUCUCUCGGGAAAUCCAGCGGCUUAACCGUUGGUCGGCCGGGGGGUACUACAUUGCUUGGGACUGGGAGAGGUAGGAGGUACUCAGGGGGUAGGAGUGAAAUCCUGUAAUCCUUUGGGGACCACCGGUGGCGAAGGCGUCCUACCAGAACAGGUCCGACGGUGAGGGACGAAAGCUAGGGGCACGAACCGGAUUAGAUACCCGGGUAGUCCUAGCCGUAAACGAUGCUCGCUAGGUGUCACAACAGUCGUGAACUGUUGUGGUGCCGUAGGGAAGCCGUGAAGCGAGCCACUUGGGAAGUACGGCCGCAAGGCUGAAACUUAAAGGAAUUGGCGGGGGAGCACA